GAUGAACGCUGGCGGCGUGCUUAACACAUGCAAGUCGAACGAAGCACUUUAUUUGAUUUCCUUCGGGACUGAUUAUUUUGUGACUGAGUGGCGGACGGGUGAGUAACGCGUGGGUAACCUGCCUUGUACAGGGGGAUAACAGUUGGAAACGGCUGCUAAUACCGCAUAAGCGCACAGCAUCGCAUGAUGCAGUGUGAAAAACUCCGGUGGUAUAAGAUGGACCCGCGUUGGAUUAGCUAGUUGGUGAGGUAACGGCCCACCAAGGCGACGAUCCAUAGCCGACCUGAGAGGGUGACCGGCAACAUUGGGACUGAGACACGGCCCAAACUCCGACGGGAGGCAGCAGUGGGGAAUAUUGCACAAUGGGCGAAAGCCUGAUGCAGCGACGCCGCGUGAGCGAAGAAGUAUUUCGGUAUGUAAAGCUCUAUCAGCAGGGAAGAUAAUGACGGUACCUGACUAAGAAGCACCGGCUAAAUACGUG
rnacentral:rRNA from 1 species